UAGAAGUAGUGGCUGUGCAAAUGGGAAA
rnacentral:piRNA from 1 species